CCGCCGCAAGGGUUUCCACCAUUACCUCACCACCAACACCAUUGACACCAACAUCAACAACAUCACCGUCGUUGCCGCUACACACAUCCUCUUCCAAAAGAAAAGUUAAAGAAAUUUAUACUAAAACUCAUCCAAGAGUGAAGAUUGAAGAGGAUAAAGACGCUUUUCCAUUUUUAAUCACUACUAAAAAUUAUCAUUUGUCCUGUGAAUGUUUGCCUAAUGAACUAAUUUUCAUUGGAAAGUAACUCUAUUCGAUGGAAUAAACAUUUGGUAAGUGGUCAACUUUUUGUUUUUUUUUUUCAAAGACAUUUGCCUGAUGAAAAAAAGUUUGACGGCCAAAGUAAAACUUUCACCUGACAAAGUUUUCAUGCCAAGCGAAAAAAUGGCACGUAUUAUGUCACAUUUUGCUCGGUGGAACAUAAGUUUGUUGACGGAGGUAACUUUGCCAUACGAAAUAUUAGUCGGUUAAGUACAUGAAUGAUCGGGCAAAGACCCACGAUGACUGUCAUAGCCGACAAUUUUUUGCUCCACAACUUUAGUGACUUUAUCCAAUUCCUUAAAAUAGACCGUGCGACAUUCCUUUUCCUUUUUCUUCU
rnacentral:lncRNA from 1 species